CCUACGGGAGGCAGCAGUGGGGAAUAUUGGACAAUGGGCGCAAGCCUGAUCCAGCCAUGCCGCGUGAGUGAAGAAGGCCUUAGGGUUGUAAAACUCUUUCGCCGGUGAAGAUAAUGACGGUAACCGGUAAAGAAGACCCGGCUAACUCCGUGCCAGCAGCCGCGGUAAU
rnacentral:rRNA from 1 species